rnacentral:ncRNA from 1 species
GACCAUAUUUUUAUCACCUCUCUAUGGUCGCGGCUG